rnacentral:misc_RNA from 1 species
GAUUAAUUCAAAGAAAAUCACCUUCUCAGAAAUGGUGCUGAAUGUAUUGUCAAAGCAGAACAUGUAAUCACCAACUUCAGUCUCUACAGUGUGAACUCCAUCUGAUUUUCUUUGUUCAAAAACUAAGGUUUUGCCUUCUGGAGAGGCAAGAUGGAAAUCAAUAUCUAAUCCUGCUCCAUCUAAAACUUGGUACUCGAUCUCCAGCGAGGCCUUCAGGGGCAUGGGCUGGUAGAA